rnacentral:rRNA from 1 species
AUUGAACGCUGGCGGCAUGCCUUACACAUGCAAGUCGAACGGUAACAGGUCUUCGGAUGCUGACGAGUGGCGAACGGGUGAGUAAUACAUCGGAACGUGCCUAGUAGUGGGGGAUAACUACUCGAAAGAGUGGCUAAUACCGCAUGAGAUCUACGGAUGAAAGAAGGGGAUCGCAAUACCUUGUGCUACUAGAGCGGCCGAUGGCAGAUUAGGUAGUUGGUGGGAUAAAAGCUUACCAAGCCGACGAUCUGUAGCUGGUCUGAGAGGACGAUCAGCCACACUGGGACUGAGACACGGCCCAGACUCCUACGGGAGGCAGCAGUGGGGAAUUUUGGACAAUGGGCGCAAGCCUGAUCCAGCAAUGCCGCGUGCAGGAUGAAGGCCUUCGGGUUGUAAACUGCUUUUGUACGGAACGAAAAGCCCUGGGUUAAUACCCUGGGGUCAUGACGGUACCGUAAGAAUAAGCACCGGCUAACUACGUGCCAGCCGCCGCAGUAA